UACGGAGGGUGCAAGCGUUAUCCGGAUUCACUGGGUUUCAAGGGUGCGUAGGUGGGCAGGUAAGUCAGUGGUGAAAUCUCCGAGCUUAACUCGGAAACUGCCAUUGAUACUAUUUGUCUUGAAUAUCCUGGAGGUGAGCGGAAUAUGUCAUGUAGCGGUGAAAUGCUUAGAUAUGACAUAGAACACCAAUUGCGAAGGCAGCUCACUACGGGAUAAUUGACGCUGAGGCACGAAAGCGUGGGGAUCAAACAGG
rnacentral:rRNA from 1 species